CCCUUGUGCAGCUGCUAUAAAAAAAAGUAUGGUUGACUUGUUGUUCCCUCCUGACUGGGAUGUCAGUUCCUGAAAAGAGGGGCUUUUAUUUUAUCUACUAUAUUCUAGUGACCGGAACAGUGUCUGACACACAGGAGGUACUCAUACAUGUUGAAUAAAUGAAAUGGAUGUAAAUGCACGUAUUUCUUUGUGGCAUUUAUUUUCUUAAAUACCGAAAUAAAAAUAUUAUUAAACCAUUUCAAUGAAAUAGUAUGGUUUUAUAUUUUCCACAUGUUUUUAUGCCUUCUUCUUUACACACAUCCCAAAGAACAUGAUCUCUAUUAGUGAAGAGUAUUGAUACAAAAAGUUCUGGUGUGUGUGUGUGUGUGUGUGUGUGUGUGUGUGUAUGUGUGUGUGUGUCUGCGGGGGUAGGGGGGAGAGGAGGGCAUUUUCCAACAGAAUGGUGCUGGGACAGACCAAUAGCAGUGGAAAUCAAGUCAUGGAAUUUGCAACUUUUAAGAACCUCAGCAAACAGACUGUCUCGGUGGCUUAAAUGCCAACAAACACAACAGAAUGUAGUUGCAGAACAAUCAGGUUUCAGCAGAGGUCUUUCAAAAUGACACAUCCAACCGGCUGGGAGAGCUUUCAGACAGCAGAAGGACUGAGUGUGGCGGCCAGGAAUCCUCCUGAGAGUGAAGGUCUGACUCCCAGCCACUCCCUACUCAGUGUGAUUGAGAAAUACAGCUUCCAACACCAUAAUGUACUUGAUGUCUAUGUUGUUUUUUCCUCCACAGCUUGAAAUUUCCUGAUGUUAGUGAUAAGUUGGCUGGUGAUAAGUCAGUUAGUGAUAAGUCAACUGCCAGUUCUCACACUCUAUAAAGAUUUUUGAGGCUCACACUCUAUAAAGAUGUUCUGAGGCUGAAUGAAGAAUUUUGAUGGUCUCACUCUUAAUAUGCCAGAUAAGAAUAUGUACAGUAAUUUAUUAAAAUUGCUACACUUGGAAUGAGGAAAUGAAGUUAAUAAUUGCUACAUUCAGGAUGUGGUAAUAAAUUUUAAUAAUUUGAAAUAGAGCCGAGAUUUCAAUUGUCUUGGGGGUGUAGCCAUCUGAUUAAAUUUAUACUUCAUAUGCAGUCAAUCCCAGUUAAU